rnacentral:rRNA from 1 species
CGGACGGGUGAGUAAUGCUUAGGAAUCUGGCUUAUGGAGGGGGAUAACGACGGGAAACUGUCGCUAAUACCGCGUAGAAUCGAGAGAUGAAAGUGCGGGACCGCAAGGCCGCAUGCCAUAGGAUGAGCCCAAGUGGGAUUAGGUAGUUGGUGGGGUAAAGGCCUACCAAGCCGACGAUCUCUAGCUGGUCUGAGAGGAUGACCAGCCACACCGGGACUGAGACACGGCCCGG